UCCAGGGUAGCCUAGUGGACAGGCACCUGCCCGGUAAGCGGAACACUGUGGGUUCGAUUCCCAUCCCUGGAA